UACGAAGGGGGCGAGCGUUGUUCGGAAUUACUGGGCGUAAAGGGCGCGUAGGCGGCCCUCUUUGUCGCGUGUGAAAGCCCCGGGCUCAACCUGGGAACGGCGCGCGAAACGGGGGGGGCUGGAGUUCGGGAGAGGAGCGUGGAAUUCCCAGUGUAGAGGUGAAAUUCGUAGAUAUUGGGGAAGAACACCCGUGGCGAAGGCGGCGUCUCUGGGACGGUACU
rnacentral:rRNA from 1 species